CCUACGGGGGGCAGCAGUGGGGAAUUUUGCGCAAUGGGGGAAACCCUGACGCAGCGACGCCGCGUGGAGGAUGAAGGUCUUCGGAUUGUAAACUCCUUUUGUCGGGGAAGAUAAUGACGGUACCCGAUGAAUAAGCCACGGCUAACUCUGUGCCAGCAGCCGCGGUAAGACAGAGGUGGCAAGCGUUGUUCGGAAUUACUGGGCUUAAUGGGCGCGUAGGCGGUGGAGUAAGUCUGAGGUGGAAGAUUAGGGCUUAACCCUAAAAUUGCCUUGGAAACUGCAUCACUAGAGUCCGGAAGAGUAGAGCGGAAUUCCCGGUGUAGCGGUGAAAUGCGCAGAUAUCGGGAAGAACACCAGUGGCGAAGGCGGCUCUCUGGGACGGUACUGACGCUGAGACGCGAAAGCGUGGGGAGCAAACAGGAUUAGAUACCCGAGUANUC
rnacentral:rRNA from 1 species